rnacentral:rRNA from 1 species
UUGACCUCAAAUCAGGUAGGACUACCCGCUGAACUUAAGCAUAUCAAUAAGCGGAGGAAAAGAAACUAACAAGGAUUCCCCUAGUAACUGCGAGUGAAGCGGGAAAAGCUCAAAUUUGAAAUCUGGCAGUUCUUUUGACUGUCUGAGUUGUAAUCUAGAGAAGUGUUACCUGUGCUGGACCGUGUACAAGUCUUCUGGAAUGGAGCAUCAUAGAGGGUGAGAAUCCCGUCUUUGACAUGGACUACCAGUGUGCUGUGGUGCGCUCUCAAAGAGUCGAGUUGUUUGGGAAUGCAGCUCAAAAUGGGUGGUAAAUGCCAUCUAAAGCUAAAUAUUGGCGAGAGACCGAUAGCGAACAAGUACCGUGAGGGAAAGAUGAAAAGAACUUUGGAAAGAGAGUUAAACAGUACGUGAAAUUGCUGAAAGGGAAACGCUUGAAGUCAGUCACRUUGGCUAGAAAUCAGCCUUGCUUUUGCUUGGUGUACUUUCUGGUUUGACGGGUCAGCAUCGAUUUCUUUGACCAUUGGAUAAAGUCUUUGGGAAUGUGGCAUCUUUUGAUGUGUUAUAGCCCAUUGUCGCAUACAAUGGUUGGGAUCGAGGAACUCAGCACGCCGCAAGGCCGGGCAUAGACCACGCUCGUGCUUAGGAUGCUGGCAUAAUGGCUUUAAUCGACCCGUC